AGUGAACGCUGGCGGUAGGCCUAACACAUGCAAGUCGAACGGCAGCACAGUAAGAGCUUGCUCUUACGGGUGGCGAGUGGCGGACGGGUGAGGAAUACAUCGGAAUCUACUUUUUCGUGGGGGAUAACGUAGGCAAACUUACGCUAAUACCGCAUACGACCUACGGGUGAAAGCAGGGGAUCUUCGGACCUUGCGCGAUUGAAUGAGCCGAUGUCGGAUUAGCUAGUUGGCGGGGUAAAGGCCCACCAAGGCGACGAUCCGUAGCUGGUCUGAGAGGAUGAUCGGCCACAUGGGAACUGAGACACGGUCCAGACUCCUACGGGAGGCAGCAGUGGGGAAUAUUGGACAAUGGGCGCAAGCCUGAUCCAGCCAUACCGCGUGGGUGAAGAAGGCCUUCGGGUUGUAAAGCCCUUUUGUUGGGAAAGAAAAGCAGCAGGUUAAUACCCCGCUGUUCUGACGGUACCCAAAGAAUAAGCACCGGCUAACUUCGUG
rnacentral:rRNA from 1 species